rnacentral:rRNA from 1 species
GAUGAACGCUGGCGGCGUGCCUAAUACAUGCAAGUCGAGCGAACAGACGAGGAGCUUGCUCCUUUGACGUUAGCGGCGGACGGGUGAGUAACACGUGGGUAACCUACCUAUAAGACUGGGAUAACUUCGGGACACCGGAGCUAAUACCGGAUAAUAUUUCGAACCGCAUGGUUCGAUAGUGAAAGAUGGCUUUGCUAUCACUUAUCGAUGGACCUGCGCCGUAUUAGCUAGUUGGUAAGGUAACGGCUUACCAAGGCAACGAUACGUAGCCGACCUGAGAGGGUGAUCGGCCACACUGGAACUGAGACACGGUCCAGACUCCUACGAGAGGCAGCAGUAGGGAAUCUUCCGCAGUGGGCGAAAGCCUGACGGAGCAACGCCGCGUGAGUGAUGAAGGUCUUCGGAUCGUAAAACUCUGUUAUGAGGGAAGAACAAACGUGUAAGUAACUGUGCACGUCUUGACGGUAACUAAUCAGAAAGCCACGGCUAACUACGUG